UGAGCAAUCUGCCCUUGACCCUGGAAUAACAGCUGGAAACAGCUGCUAAUACCGGAUACGACCUCCGAUGGCAUCAUCUGGAGGUGGAAAGCUCCGACGGUCAAGGAUGGGCUCGCGGCCUAUCAGCUUGUUGGUGAGGUAACGGCUCACCAAGGCUUCGACGGGUAGCCGGCCUGAGAGGGCGACCGGCCACACUGGGACUGAGACACGGCCCAGACCUCUACGGGAGG
rnacentral:rRNA from 1 species